rnacentral:lncRNA from 1 species
GCCGCCACCAGGCAGCUGGCAGCGCGACCCAGCCACGCACUGGGAGCGCGCCCUCUCCCCAACUUCUCACCCUCGCCCUGGGUUCCGGGCCCCAGGCCCAGAGAAUAGCAAACAGAAAGAACUUCAAGAUUACAAAUAUCCGUCUCAUUUGAUGCUGAAUUACUCGUGGACAGAUAAGAAAAGGUCUGUUUGGACAUUCAAAGAAGCUACACAUACAAAGAUGGUUUGGCUCGGUGCCGUCAGACACAGCACUUUGAAGAAAAAAAACACAGAAAGAAAGAAAGGAAGGAAAGAAGGAAGGAAGGAAGGACAGAAGGAAGGAAGGAAGGAAAGAAGGAAAGAAGGAAGGAAGGAAGGAAGGAAGGAAGGAAGGAAGGAAGGAAGGAAGGAAGGAAAAAUGUCUGAGCGUUUCCAUGCUCAUCUUUGCCUCAAAUAAGUAAGUAAAUAAAUAAAGUGCAAGGCAGAAAAAAGUUUGCUGCUUGCGUCUGUAGGUCGUGCACGCGUGUCUCAUGUUUGUGCAUGACCCCCCCCCCCCAAGCUCAAAAGCAAGGGCGUGGAGGGAUCAUCCCCCAGAGAGCUGUGUUUACUCAUUUUUUUUUAAAUCCCUCGGCUAUGUAUGGCAAGUGUUACUUGAAGAUAGUCAUCGGCCUUCUCUAGAUACUUCCAGGUUUUGCCGUAAUGAUCUGCAGAAGAGAGCUGCCAUCACUUUCUCACAUCCCAAGGUGUUGGCGGAACUCGGAGCGAGGGGAGAGUGCCUGUAAUGCUUAAUUGCCAAGGGGAGGGCGGGGUGCCACUCGGGACCCCGGGCGGGGCUUGGGGAGGUAAGGUGCAACCAAGGAGGUCUUUCUGGACGCUGGACUCUUCAGUUGGAGAAUAUUUGGACAAGGUAUGAUUGCCUCCCACCUCCCACCUCCCACCUCUUUUCCCCAAUGCCUUUGGGGGAGAAGUGAUACCCUUGUGUAACAAUUAGCUCAGACAAUAAAAAUAAUUGGAAAAUCA